rnacentral:rRNA from 1 species
GGGGUAUCUAAUUUCCCAAACUGGGAUUAGAUACCCCACUAUGCUUAGCCCUAAACACAGAUAAUUACAUAAACAAAAUUAUUCGCCAGAGUACUACUAGCAACAGCUUAAAACUCAAAGGACUUGGCGGUGCUUUAUAUCCUUCUAGAGGAGCCUGUUCUAUAAUCGAUAAACCCCGAUAAACC